GGGUUGUGAGGUUAAGCGACUAAGCGUACACGGUGGAUGCCCUGGCAGUCAGAGGCGAUGAAGGGCGUACUAAUCUGCGAUAAGCGCCGGUAAGGUGAUAUGAACCGUUAUAACCGGCGAUACCCGAAUGGGGAAACCCAGUGUGAUUCGUCACACUAUCAUUAACUGAAUCCAUAGGUUAAUGAGGCGAACCGGGGGAACUGAAACAUCUAAGUACCCCGAGGAAAAGAAAUCAACCGAGAUUCCCCCAGUAGCGGCGAGCGAACGGGGAGGAGCCCAGAGCCUGAAUCAGCAUGUGUGUUAGUGGAAGCGUCUGGAAAGGCGCGCGAUACAGGGUGACAGCCCCGUACACAAAAGCGCAUGUGCUGUGAGCUCGAUGAGUAGGGCGGGACACGUGGUAUCCUGUCUGAAUAUGGGGGGACCAUCCUCCAAGGCUAAAUACUCCUGACUGACCGAUAGUGAACCAGUACCGUGAGGGAAAGGCGAAAAGAACCCCGGCGAGGGGAGUGAAAAAGAACCUGAAACCGUGUACGUACAAGCAGUGGGAGCACCCUUUGGGUGUGACUGCGUACCUUUUGUAUAAUGGGUCAGCGACUUAUAUUCUGUAGCAAGGUUAACCGAAUAGGGGAGC
rnacentral:rRNA from 2 species